GAUGAACGCUAGCGGCAGGCUUAAUACAUGCAAGUCGAGGGGCAGCAUAAGUAGCAAUACUUGAUGGCGACCGGCAAACGGGUGCGGAACACGUACAGAACCUUCCUUCGAGCGGGGGAAUAGCCCGGAGAAAUCCGGAUUAAUACCCCAUAGUAAAUUGAAAAGGCAUCUUUUUAAUUUUAAAGAUUUAUCACUUGAAGAUGGCUGUGCGCCUGAUUAGGUAGUUGGCGGGGUAACGGCCCACCAAGACCUUCGAUCAGUAACUGGUGUGAGAGCACGACCAGUCACACGGGCACUGAGACACGGGCCCGACUCCUACGGGAGGCAGCAGUAAGGAAUAUUGGUCAAUGGACGCAAGUCU
rnacentral:rRNA from 1 species